rnacentral:rRNA from 1 species
CUACGGGACGCAGCAGUGAGGAAUAUUGCACAAUGGGGGGAACCCUGAUGCAGCAACGCCGCGUGGAGGAUGGCGCAUUUCGGUGUGUAAACUCCUUUUAUAUGUCAAGAAAAUGACGGUAGCAUAUGAAUAAGCGCCGGCUAACUCCGUGCCAGCAGCCGCGGUAAUACGGAGGGUGCAAGCGUUACUCGGAAUCACUGGGCGUAAAGGACGCGUAGGCGGGUUGGAAAGUCAGGUGUGAAAUCCUACAGCUUAACUGUAGAACUGCACUUGAAACUUCUAAUCUAGAGUAUGGGAGGGGGAGGUGGAAUUAGUGGUGUAGGGGUAAAAUCCGUAGAUAUCACUAGGAAUACCUAAAGCGAAGGCGAUCUCCUGGAACAUUACUGACGCUAAGGCGUGAAAGCGUGGGGAGCAAACAGGAUUAGAUACCCGGGUAGUC